GACAGAGGGGGCGAGCGUUGCUCGGAAUUACUGGGCGUAAAGGGCGCGUAGGCGGCCACCGCAAGUCGACUGUGAAAAUCUCCGGGCUUAACCCGGAAAGGUCAGCCGAUACUGCGGGGCUAGAGUGCAGAAGGGGCAACUGGAAUUCUCGGUGUAGCGGUGAAAUGCGUAGAUAUCGAGAGGAACACCGGUGGCGAAGGCGGCCUUCUGGACAGUGACUGACGCUCAGGCACGAAAGCGUGGGGAGCAAAAGGG
rnacentral:rRNA from 1 species